rnacentral:lncRNA from 1 species
UUACAAGAGGUGCUGAAGAACGCCCUCAUCCACGAUGGCCUAGCACAUGGCAUACACAAAGCUGCCAAAGCCUUAGACAAGCACCAAGCCCAUCUCUCUGUGCUUGCAUCCAACUGUAUGUCAACCUGGUGGAGGCACUUUGUGCUGAGCACCAAAUCAACCUGAUAAAGGCUGAUGACAACAAGAAACUAGGGGAAUGGGUAUGCCUCUGUAAAAUCAAUCAAGAGGAGAAACCACGGAAGGUGGUUGGUUGCAGUUGCACAGUGGUUAAGGACUAUGGCAAAGAAUCUCAGGCCAAGGAUGUCAUUUAAUUAUUUCAAAUGCAAGAAAUAA